GUUUGACUAGGUGGGUGGAAUAACUGUAGUUUGUAAUACCAAACGCUAAAUUAUCUUUUAACCAAAAUUUAUCACUUUCUAAACCAAUUUUUGGGACAAUUUCAAUUUUAACACUAGUUUGAUAUUAUUUUCAAUUUACGUUUAAAAAUAUAUAUUUUUAUAAAUGCUUUAAAUUUAUAAAAAAAAUUAAAUUGUUUUUUUUUAAUUAUUUAUAAGUGCUUAAGAAUGAUCUUUAUUUAUAAGUGC
rnacentral:lncRNA from 1 species